UUGUGGGAUCCACGGGAUCCAGGGAUAGAUUAUAAGAUCCCAUGGAUUGAUUCAUGGGAUCAGUGAAUACAUUUGUGGGAUCCAGGGAUGGAUUGUGGGAUACGGGGAUGGACUGUGAGAUCCCUUGGAUGGAUUCAUGGGAUCCAGAGAUGGAUUGUGAGAUCCAGGGAUGGAUUAAUGGGAUCAAUGGAUGGAUUUGUGGGAUCCAGGGAUGGAUCAAUGGGAUCCAGGGACGGACUGUGAGAUCCCAUGGAUGGAUUCAUGGGACCAAUGGAUGGAUUCAUGGGAUCAAUUGAUGCAUUUGUGGGAUCCAGAGAUGGAUCUGUGGGAUCCAGGGAUUGAUUAAUGAGAUCCAGGAAUGGAUUCAUGGGAUCAAUGGAUGGAUUUGUGGGAUCCAGGGUUGGAUUGUGGGAUCCAGGGAUGGACUGUGAGAUCCCAUGGAUGGAUUCAUGGGAUCAGUGGAUGGAUUUGAGGGAUCCAGGAACAGGUUAAUGAGAUCCACAGAUGGAUCCAUGGGAUCCAGGGAUGGACUGUGAGAUCCCAUGGAUGGAUUCAUGGGAUCAAUGGGUGGAUUGUGGGAUCCAGGGAUGGAUUCAUGGGAUCCAUGGAUGGAUUCAUUGGAUCCAGGGAUGGAUUAAUGAGAUCCAGGGAUGGACUGUGGGAUCCAAGGGUGGAUUGUGGGAUCCAGGGAUGGAUUCAUGGGAUCAGUGAAUGGAUUCGUGGGAUCCAGGGGUGGAUUUGUGGGAUCCAGGACUGGGUUCAUGGGAUCCAAGGGUGGAUUAUUGAGAUCCAGGGAUGGAUUUGUGGGAUCCAGGGAUGGAUUAAUGAGAUCCACAGAUGGAUUAAUGGGAUCAGUGAAUGGAUUCAUGAGAUCAAUGGAUGGAUUUGUGGGAUCCAGGGAUGGAUUCAUGGGAUCCAGGGAUGGAUUUGUGG